rnacentral:misc_RNA from 1 species
GGUCUUUUGCACUUGAGCAACACCACCCACAGACACUUGUAUCGAGAAAGGAAGAGUCUUUUGCUCAUUUUUCCACAGGAAACGUGAGAUUUUUCAAGCAGAGAUGAAGGAGAAGAGUGAAAGUGGAGGUGCGUAUGUGAGAGCAGAUCAGAUAGAUCUGAAGAGCCUGGACGAGCAACUCCAGAGGCAUCUAAGUAGAGCAUGGACUAUGGAGAAGAACAAGAACAAGAAAGAUGGAGAAGAAGGAGAAGGAGCACUGCAAAGACCUCUAAACAACACUGCAACAAGGCAAGAAUGGGAGAUUGACCCAUCUAAACUCAUAAUCAAAGGUGUUAUCGCUCGANNNNNNNGCACGGUUCACCGUGGCAUUUAUGAUGGCCAAGAUGUUGCUGUUAAACUUCUUGAUUGGGGGGAGGAGGGUCACAAGUCAGAGGCUGAAAUAGCUUCACUUAGAGCAGC